rnacentral:tRNA from 2 species
GGACGGGUGGCCGAGUGGCUUAAGGCGCAUGAUUGGAAAUCAUGUGGGUUAACACCUUCGUGGGUUCGAAUCCCACCCCGUCCG